UAAGAUGUGGGUACCAGCUGGAAACUGCAUAAGUGAGACAAUCUGGGCAGGUUUUGAAGUAUAUCGCCAGCCCCAUGUCCUGAUCUGUCCUCCUCUCUGGUCCAUAGAGAUUGCUCUAUCAAGUCAGAGACAAGGCUCUCAAGUGUCUUCUGAAACACAGAACAAAGAUGCUGACUGACAAGAACCACAGUACUUUGUGGGGAGGCUGAGUCAACUAGGGUACCACAAUUUUUCAAGGUUCUGACUUUACAAAUAAUGAAAUUUGAAAUGAACAACAGCAGCAGCAGCAGCAGCAGCAGCAACAACAACAACAACAAUGAAAAGGUCAGGAUGUUUUUCUAUCAUUAACUAACUACACAAAAAAUAAUGCUAAAAUUUGAAUGUAGCUUAAUGAAUUAAAAAUAUAAUGGUUCUCUUUUCUCCACUAUGCCAUGCUUCAUCCAUGAGAAAUUAAAAAUGAGCAUGCUCAAAUUGAUUCAUGAGCUGAUCGGAGCCACCAACAAAUCACACGUGACUAUGGAAGUGGCUAACAACAGAGACCCUUAAUUUGUGUAGUGAGUGGGAGUAUGUCUUCAUCUCCCUCCCAAGAAGCCAAUGUUGUCAGCCUCACUUUGAAGAAAUAACAACUGUCAAAUAAAGAGGAACUCAGUCAGAUAACAAGUAUACUUCCAGAAACAUGUUAAGAUAUCGCUGAUACCACAUUUGGUAAACCAAAUGUCAUCAACCUGAGGACAUUCAAUGAUAAGAUGAACCAUUAAUUUCACAAAGACUUUGAAGUUAUUUGGCAUAUUUGGGUUGGAGAGAUUUACCGCAACACUGUGCUAUUUUGGGACGUGCUGAGCUCCAGUGCCAAGGAGGGAGAUGCCCGUCACACUAAGCAGUACUGAGGAGGCCGCUUAUCUUGUGGGAGCAAACGAGUCUUAAUCAUGGUGGAAUCUGAAGAAAAGAUUCAUUUGAAAAUCAAGUAUGUUAAUUGAUUUGAAAGCCGUCACAGGAUAAACAUGCUUUAAAAUGUAGGUUACUUGAACUUUCUGGAUCUCAAUUGAAUUAUUCUCUCUCCUACAUGAUACAUGCACUCUAUGUCUCCAACAAAACAUAAUUUAUUUUAGAGUUGAAAAAUGCUUCUUGAGUGAGACAGAUAACGGGUGAUAAUUAAGAGCUCAGAUUUCAGGGGUCUGUCUGAAUUGGAAGCCCGGACUGGUCUUGCCAUAUAUUACAGGUAUGAUCUUGUAUUCUUUUUUUCAAGUAAGUGUCUUCAUUUCUAAUGUGUUCACAAAAUAGCAUCUUACAUGGUGACUUCAAAGGAUCAACAAAUUACCUUAAGAGAAAUAUAUCAGAGUCCUGGCCUGUUUGAAGUACUAUUAUUAUUAUUAUUCUUGUUGUCUCAGAAAGGCAAAGUAAGGAUAUCAGCAUGAAAGGGCUUGGAGGAGCAAUGCCCUUGCCUCAUGGCAACUGGGAAGCAGAAGUGAAGACCAAAUAUUGUUCCCAAGGGAUGCGUCUUUACUCACUAACUCAGCUCCACCAGCAAAGGUUCCUACUAACGGCAUAAUUUAAAGUGCACUGACCUCUGUCAAUAAUAGUCCCCUGUCUACAUUUUAGAUCGAUUCAAUGCUCUUUGAAAGGUUCAACCUACUUACUGAGAGAUGAUUGGCUCAUGAGGGUGCUGACGUCAUUAAUGGAUUAGUUCACUGAUAGGUUCAUACUUUGAUGACAUCAGUGAGCAAUGCUAGGAACUUUUGUGGGGCGGAGCUCAGUUGGGAAGCAGGUCACCAUAGACAUGUCCUCUUGGGAACGAUAUUUGCUUCUCACUUCUGCCUCCCAAUUGCUAUGAGGGAACAUCAUUGCUCUUCCAAGACCUUUCACUUUGACAUUUUUUCCUUGCCCUUCUUCAGGCCCGAGGCAAUGGAGCCAUCCUCAUGCCAUUUAAACCUACUGAGACUUUGAGCCAAAAUAAAUGUUCCCCCUUUUUAAAUGUUUUCUCUCAAGUACUUGGUCACAGUGAUGGAAAGGGUAACACAGUGGUUAAAAGCAUUUUGACUUUUGCACCAAAUUAUCCAACAGAAUGUAGAGCUUAUCAAGGACAGUCGUUGGCAACAAGAAAACAUGAAACACCUGUGUCUCUGGGGUUUAUUCACUACUUAGCAUUACAGCUUGAGAAUAAAAGUAACCUGUUCAAAUUAUUGAGAAGAUCAGCUUAAGGAAAUACAGUAUCAACAGUGUGGAGUGCUUUUUUCCUGUAUUAUCUACUGACAGAGCAAACCCAUCUGGCUUCUCUAUUCUUGUUUCUAUGUUUGAGAUAAGCAUUGACAUUCAAAUGCAGUGUAACAUCGAAGCCUGCUUAGAUAAAAAUACUUUUUGAUAUAUUACUGAAAUUAUUAUCCUUUAGAUUAAAUAAAUGAGAAGAUGUUCCUUUGUGACUUUUUAAAGGGGUGACUUGUAUGCAUUUUAAUAACAUCUUUAUUAAGAAAUAAUUCAUAAAACAUAAAAUCCACCUAUUUAGAAUGUAUAAAUCAAUGGCUUUUAGGAUUUCAAGAGGCAUGUGCCAUCAUCACCACUAAUUUCAGAACAAUUCUGUCAGCUUACAAAGAAAUUCCCUGCUUAUUAGCAACAGCUCCCCAUUUUUCCUGCCUCAGCCCAGCCCUAGGAAAUCCUUAUCUGCUGUCAGUCUUUGUAGAAUUGUGUAUCCUGGACUUGUUAUACAGAUGGAAUCAUACACGGUCUUUUUGACUAAAUUUUUUAACUUAAUAUUUAUUAUUACAAAGCUACCCUGUGUUGUAGCUCAUAUUAGUGUUAUGGUCUUACUUUUGAUAAAUGGCAACUCAUUGUAUUGUAUUCCAUUUUGUCUACAUAUCAGUUGGCAGAAAUGAGAUUUUUCCAUGGUUUGUCUAUGAAUAAUAUCGCCAUAAUUACCAGUGUGCUUUUUAUUCAUGUACAGACCGGCGUUCUCAUUUUUUCUUAGAUACCAAUGCAAUUUUUAAUUUAAAAUAUACUUACAAUAUUUCUCACAUACCUGUACCUCUACACUCCCUCUCAAAUUAAUGGAAUUUUUUUUUUUUUGGUUUGUUUCUUCUAGAUGGAGUUUUACCUGUGUAACAGAGCUAUGGCUGCCCUGAAACUUGCUUUGUAGACCAGGUUGGCCUUGAACUCACAAGAUCUGCCUGCAUCUUUCUCCUGAGUGCUGGGAUGAAAGGAGUGUAUUAUUCUGCCUCAUGAUUCUGCCUCAUGAUUCUUUAAUUAUUAGUGUGUCUGUGUGUGUGUAUGUAUGUGACUAUAUAAGUGCAACCUACUAGAUCUUUUAGUGUUGUUUCUAUGUACAUAUUUUAGGGCUGACUACUUGGUAAUGUGAUAAUCAUGUAGAAGGCCUCAUCACUGUGGAGGACUAAUUUCUCCAUCUCUCAGCAGUCAUUAAUUUCCUGUAGCUCUUUAUAUAAGGAUAGGGUGCCCUUGAGAUUCUUCUCAUCCAUAUUGACCUCUCAACUGGUGGUAUCAUUCUUCAGGCCUUAUUUAGGAAGUCAUAUUGUUGACAUGUCAUGAAUAUAGCUCCUUUCUCAUAUCUAGAAGACACAUCACAUCAGGAUAUUCCUGGUUCUUUGGCUCUUACAAUUUCUUUUGCCCUUACUUAUGCAAUUUUUUUGCUGAACACUAGGUGUAGGGAUUGUUUUGCAGAUGUCUCAGCUCAGAGGGCUAGACAUCUUAGAGUCAUUUUGUCUCGGUCGUUUAAUCAGUUGUAGCUUCCUAUAAUGAUCUCUCUUUCCAACAAAAAAUCUUCUAUGAUGAGAGGUGACAGAUACUACCACACUUUAUGGAAACAGAAUAAUGUUUAAGUGCAUUCAAAUACUUGUCCUCAUCCCUGAAUCCCAAACUGUCUAAUAGCAUGAACUGACUAGAUUAAGCAACACACAUUUACUUGCAUUAGUCUUUCGAAGUUCUAAUUUCCAAACAUCUUCAGGUUGGGGAGUAGGAGCUCACCAUUAGAUUUUUACAGAAGCAUAACUCAUCUGACGUUAACCAUUACACUCUGGGUCUUAUUUCUAGGUGAAGUGGCUAAGAGGCAUUGACCACUGAGAGGAAGUCAGCUGAGUAUGGAGAGGGGCUGAUUACCCAUUAAGCCCAGAGCAAGCAGAAGUGUUCCCAACCAAGGCUGAGACAGCAAAGGAAUUGCUGGAGGAUAUCUUACUCAGGUAUGGAUUUCCUUAUAUGAUAGGGUCAAAAUUCAGAUUGGGAAUUGCAUUGUGCAUACUAACCCCAAAGUCAGGGCAUGUAGAAAGAAUGAAUAAAAAGAGACCUUAACCAAAAAGCCUUAAAGACUGGUUGGGACUGGACGCUGCUCCUUCCUUUUGCUCUAUGUCGGGUAAGGAAUUCUCCUUACCAGAUGUGACUAACCUUCUUUGAAAUUAUGUAAGUGUUAGAGAUGGUAGAUAAUUUCAGGGGAACAGUGUUUUCUGUCCAGCAGAGCAGUUUAGUACAUAUGAACUCAGUGAUUCUGAGAAUAUACAGAUGACCUAUGCAAGGUCAAACCAGACAAAAAUCACUGUAUAGAAUGGGGGAUUUAAUGGGGUAUGAAAUCCCACCACCAGCUGAGGAGCCAUUGGCAUUUCAUGACUGCUGGGAGAGGGAGAGUCAGUCUUUAAUUGUAUGACCUCUGGUAAGUCGACCACACUUCAGGGCAUCCCCGUUUCCAGGAGUAGUUUGGUAACACAAAUUGGACUUGAUAAGUUUUUGAAAAAGUCGAAAAUUCAAAGCUGGGUGGAUAGGAGAGUGAGGGUGAAUUUCAGAUGAGUUGGAAGGGUAAUUUGAUAAAGAUGUAUGCAAUUUUGGAAGAAUUAAUAAAUAUAUUAUUGUGAUGGUUUGUAUUUGCUUAGCCUAGGGAGUAGCACCAUUAGGAGGUGUAGUCUUGUUGGAGGAAGAGUGUCACUGUGGAUAUGAGCUUUAAGGCCUUCAUUCUAGCUGCCUGGAAGCCAGUAUUCUGCUCACAGCCUUCAGAUGAAGAUGUAGAACUCUCAGAUCUGCCUGCACCAUGCUUGCUUGGAUGCUAUCAUGAUUUCACCUCGAUGAUAAUGGACUAAACCUCUGAACCUGUAUUAUGAUGGCUAAAAUUAUGCACAUUGGAGCAACACGAAAUGAACACAGCAGAAUGGAACAUGUAUUGAAUCAAGAAGAAGAGGUUGGCAAAUACAGAAGUGGAUGCUCACAGUCAUCUAUUGAAUGGAUCACAGGGCCCCCAAUGGAGGAGCUAGAGAAA